rnacentral:rRNA from 1 species
CGGACGGGUGAGUAACGCGUGAGAAUCUGCCCUCAGGUCGGGGACAACCACUGGAAACGGUGGCUAAUACCGGAUAUGCCGCAACGUGAAAGAUUUAUCGCCUGAAGAGGAGCUCGCGUCUGAUUAGCUAGUUGGUGGGGUAAAAGCUCACCAAGGCGACGAUCAGUAGCUGGUCUGAGAGGAUGAUCAGCCACACUGGGACUGAGACACGGCCCAGACUCCUACGGGAGGCAGCAGUGGGGAAUUUUCCGCAAUGGGCGAAAGCCUGACGGAGCAAGACCGCGUGAGGGAGGAAGGCUCUUGGGUUGUAAACCUCUUUUCUUGGGGAAGAAAACUGACGGUACCCAAGGAAUCAGCAUCGGCUAACUCCGUGCCAGCAGCCGCGGUAAUACGGAGGAUGCAAGCGUUAUCCGGAAUUAUUGGGCGUAAAGCGUCCGUAGGUGGUGGUUCAAGUCUGCUGUCAAAAACUGGGGCUUAACCCCAGGAAGGCGGUGGAAACUGAACUGCUAGAGUGUGGUAGGGGCAGAGGGAAUUCCCGGUGUAGCGGUGAAAUGCGUAGAGAUCGGGAAGAACACCGGUGGCGAAAGCGCUCUGCUGGACCACAACUGACACUCACAGGACGAAAGCUAGGGGAGCGAAUGGGAUUAGAUACCCCAGUAGUC